rnacentral:rRNA from 1 species
UACGGAGGGUGCAAGCGUUGUCCGGAUUUAUUGGGUUUAAAGGGUGCGUAGGCGGCUUUAUAAGUCCGUGGUGAAAGCCAACAGCUCAACUGUUGAACUGCCAUGGAUACUGUAAGGCUUGAGUACAGACGAGGUAGGCGGAAUGGAUGGUGUAGCGGUGAAAUGCAUAGAUAUCGGGAGGAACACCAGUGGCGAAGGCGGCUUCCUGGCCUGUUCUUGACGCUGAGGCGCGAAAGCUAGGGGAGCAAACGGG